GAUGAAGAACGUAGCGAAAUGCGAUACUUGGUGUGAAUUGCAGAAUCCCGUGAACCAUCGAGUCUUUGAACGCAAGUUGCGCCCGAAGCCAUUAGGCCGAGGGCACGCCUGCCUGGGCGUCACACGUCGUUGCCCCCCCAUCUACUCCUUCGGGAUUGCGGGGGGCGGAUGAUGGCCUCUCGUGCGCCUCGUCGCGCGGUUGGCCUAAAUGCCAAGUCCUCGGCGACGCACGCCACGACAAUCGGUGGUUGCGAAACCUCGGUUGCCUGUCGUGUGCGGUCGUCGCGCAUCGAGGGCUCGAAAAAAUUGCCGGGCUUCGGCUCGACUUUCAACGCGACCCCAGGUCAGGCGGGGUUACCCGCUGAAUUUAAGCAUAUCAAAAGCGGAGGA
rnacentral:misc_RNA from 1 species